rnacentral:rRNA from 1 species
GAUGAACGCUGGCGGCGUGCCUAAUACAUGCCAGUCGAGCGAACAGACGAGGAGCUUGCUCCUCUGACGUUAGCGGCGGACAGGUGAGUAACACGUGGAUAACCUACCUAUAAGACUGGGAUAACUUCGGGAAACCGGAGCUAAUACCGGAUAACAUGUUGAACCGCAUGGUUCAACAGUGAAAGACGGUUUUGCUGUCACUUAUAGAUGGAUCCGCGCCGCAUUAGCUAGUUGGUAAGGUAACGGCUUACCAAGGCAACGAUGCGUAGCCGACCUGAGAGGGUGAUCGGCCACACUGGAACUGAGACACGGUCCAGACUCCUACGGGAGGCAGCAGUAGGGAAUCUUCCGCAAUGGGCGAAAGCCUGACGGAGCAACGCCGCGUGAGUGAAGAAGGUCUUCGGAUCGUAAAACUCUGUUAUUAGGGAAGAACAAAUGUGUAAGUAACUAUGCACGUCUUGACGGUACCUAAUCAGAAAGCCACGGCUAACUACGUG